CAGUAGCCGCGGGAAUACGAAGGGGGCUAGCGUUGUUCGGAUUUACUGGGCGUAAAGGGCGCGUAGGCGGACUGAUAAGUCAGGGGUGAAAUCCCAAGGCUCAACCUUGGAACCGCCUUUGAUACUGUUUGUCUUGAGUUCGAGAGAGGUAAGUGGAACUGCGAGUGUAGAGGUGAAAUUCGUAGAUAUUCGCAAGAACACCAGUGGCGAAGGCGGCUUACUGGCUCGAAACUGACGCUGAGGCGCGAAAGCGUGGGGAGCAAACAGGAUUAGAUACCCGGGUAGUCCCUGUCUCUUAUAA
rnacentral:rRNA from 1 species